GACGAACGCUGGCGGCGUGCUUAACACAUGCAAGUCGAACGGAAAGGCCCUGCUUUUGUGGGGUGCUCGAGUGGCGAACGGGUGAGUAACACGUGAGUAACCUGCCCUUGACUUUGGGAUAACUUCAGGAAACUGGGGCUAAUACCGGAUAGGAGCUCCUGCUGCAUGGUGGGGGUUGGAAAGUUUCGGCGGUUGGGGAUGGACUCGCGGCUUAUCAGCUUGUUGGUGGGGUAGUGGCUUACCAAGGCUUUGACGGGUAGCCGGCCUGAGAGGGUGACCGGCCACAUUGGGACUGAGAUACGGCACAGACUCCUACGGGAGGCAGCAGUGGGGAAUAGUGCACAAUGGGCGGAAGCCUGAUGCAGCAACGCCGCGUGCGGGAUGACGGCCUUCGGGUUGUAAACCGCUUUCGCCUGUGACGAAGCGUGAGUGACGGUAAUGGGUAAAGAGGCACCGGCUAACUACG
rnacentral:rRNA from 1 species